rnacentral:rRNA from 1 species
UAGGGAAUCUUCGGCAAUGGACGGAAGUCUGACCGAGCAACGCCGCGUGAGUGAAGAAGGUUUUCGGAUCGUAAAGCUCUGUUGUAAGAGAAGAACGAGUGUGAGAGUGGAAAGUUCACACUGUGACGGUAUCUUACCAGAAAGGGACGGCUAACUACGUGCCAGCAGCCGCGGUAAUACGUAGGUCCCGAGCGUUGUCCGGAUUUAUUGGGCGUAAAGCGAGCGCAGGCGGUUAGAUAAGUCUGAAGUUAAAGGCUGUGGCUUAACCAUAGUACGCUUUGGAAACUGUUUAACUUGAGUGCAAGAGGGGAGAGUGGAAUUCCAUGUGUAGCGGUGAAAUGCGUAGAUAUAUGGAGGAACACCGGUGGCGAAAGCGGCUCUCUGGCUUGUAACUGACGCUGAGGCUCGAAAGCGUGGGGAGCAAACAGGAUUAGAUACCCUGGUAGUCCACGCCGUNNCGAUGAGUGCUAGGUGUUAGACCCUUUCCGGGGUUUAGUGCCGCAGCUAACGCAUUAAGCACUCCGCCUGGGGAGUACGUUCGCAAGAAU